GAUGAACGCUGGCGGCGUGCCUAAUACAUGCAAGUCGAGCGAACAGACGAGGAGCUUGCUCCUCUGACGUUAGCGGCGGACGGGUGAGUAACACGUGGAUAACCUACCUAUAAGACUGGGAUAACUUCGGGAAACCGGAGCUAAUACCGGAUAAUAUAUUGAACCGCAUGGUUCAAUAGUGAAAGACGGUUUUGCUGUCACUUAUAGAUGGAUCCUCGCCGCAUUAGCUAGUUGGUAAGGUAACGGCUUACCAAGGCAACGAUGCGUAGCCGACCUGAGAGGGUGAUCGGCCACACGGGAACUGAGACACGGUCCAGACUACUACGGGAGGCAGCAGUAGGGAAUCUUACGCAAUGGGCGAAAGCUUGACGGAGCAACGCCGCGUGAGUGAUGAAGGUCUUCGGAUCGUAAAACUCCGUUAUUAGGGAAGAACAAAUGUGUAAGUAACUAUGCACGUCUUGACGGUACCUAAUCAGAAAGCCACGGCUAACUACGUG
rnacentral:rRNA from 1 species